CUGUGUGUUGUUGGGUAGGGGAGCGUUCUGUAAGCCUGUGAAGGUGUGUCGUGAGGCAUGCUGGAGGUAUCAGAAGUGCGAAUGCUGACAUAAGUAACGAUAAAGCGGGUGAAAAGCCCGCUCGCCGGAAGACCAAGGGUUCCUGUCCAACGUUAAUCGGGGCAGGGUGAGUCGACCCCUAAGGCGAGGCCGAAAGGCGUAGUCGAUGGGAAACGGGUUAAUAUUCCCGUACUUGGUGUUACUGCGAAGGGGGGACGGAGAAGGCUAUGUUGGCCGGGCGACGGUUGUCCCGGUUUAAGCGUGUAGGUGUGUGUUCCAGGUAAAUCCGGUUCACUUUAACACUGAGGCGUGAUGACGAGGCACUACGGUGCUGAAGCAACAAAUGCCCUGCUUCCAGGAAAAGCCUCUAAGCAUCAGGUAACAUCAAAUCGUACCCCAAACCGACACAGGUGGUCAGGUAGAGAAUACCAAGGCGCUUGAGAGAACUCGGGUGAAGGAACUAGGCAAAAUGGUGCCGUAACUUCGGGAGAAGGCACGCUGACACGUAGGUGAAGUGAUUUACUCAUGGAGCUGAAGUCAGUCGAAGAUACCAGCUGGCUGCAACUGUUUAUUAAAAACACAGCACUGUGCAAACACGAAAGUGGACGUAUACGGUGUGACGCCUGCCCGGUGCCGGAAGGUUAAUUGAUGGGGUCAGCGCAAGCGAAGCUCCUGAUCGAAGCCCCGGUAAACGGCGGCCGUAACUAUAACGGUCCUAAGGUAGCGAAAUUCCUUGUCGGGUAAGUUCCGACCUGCACGAAUGGCGUAAUGAUGGCCAGGCUGUCUCCACCCGAGACUCAGUGAAAUUGAACUCGCUGUGAAGAUGCAGUGUACCCGCGGCAAGACGGAAAGACCCCGUGAACCUUUACUAUAGCUUGACACUGAACAUUGAGCCUUGAUGUGUAGGAUAGGUGGGAGGCUUUGAAGUGUGGACGCCAGUCUGCAUGGAGCCGACCUUGAAAUACCACCCUUUAAUGUUUGAUGUUCUAACGUGGACCCGUGAUCCGGGUUGCGGACAGUGUCUGGUGGGUAGUUUGACUGGGGCGGUCUCCUCCUAAAGAGUAACGGAGGAGCACGAAGGUUGGCUAAUCCUGGUCGGACAUCAGGAGGUUAGUGCAAUGGCAUAAGCCAGCUUGACUGCGAGCGUGACGGCGCGAGCAGGUGCGAAAGCAGGUCAUAGUGAUCCGGUGGUUCUGAAUGGAAGGGCCAUCGCUCAACGGAUAAAAGGUACUCCGGGGAUAACAGGCUGAUACCGCCCAAGAGUUCAUAUCGACGGCGGUGUUUGGCACCUCGAUGUCGGCUCAUCACAUCCUGGGGCUGAAGUAGGUCCCAAGGGUAUGGCUGUUCGCCAUUUAAAGUGGUACGCGAGCUGGGUUUAGAACGUCGUGAGACAGUUCGGUCCCUAUCUGCCGUGGGCGCUGGAGAACUGAGGGGGGCUGCUCCUAGU
rnacentral:rRNA from 1 species